UCGUCAGCUCGUGCCGUGAGGUGUCGGGUUAAGUCCCACUAACGAGCGCAACCCCUAUCAUUAGUUGCCAUCAGGUAAUGCUGGGGACGUCUAAAGGAACUGCCUACGCAAGUAGUGAGGAAGGCGGGGAUGACGUCAAAUCAGCACGGCCCUUACGUCCAGGGCUACACACGUGCUACAAUGGCCGAUACAGAGGGCAGCUACCUGGUGACAGGAUGCAAAUCUCCAAAGUCGGUCUCAGUUCGGAUCGGAGUCUGCAACCCGACUCCGUGAAGUUGGAUUCGCUAGUAAUCGCGCAUCAGCCAUGGCGCGGUGAAUACGUUCCCGGGCCUU
rnacentral:rRNA from 1 species